rnacentral:rRNA from 1 species
UGGGGAAUAUUGCACAAUGGGCGCAAGCCUGAUGCAGCCAUGCCGCGUGUGUGAAGAAGGCCUUCGGGUUGUAAAGCACUUUCAGCGGGGAGGAAGGCGGUGAGGUUAAUAACCUCAUCGAUUGACGUUACCCGCAGAAGAAGCACCGGCUAACUCCGUGCCAGCAGCCGCGGUAAUACGGAGGGUGCAAGCGUUAAACGGAAUUACUGGGCGUAAAGCGCACGCAGGCGGUUUGUUAAGUCAGAUGUGAAAUCCCCGGGCUCAACCUGGGAACUGCAUCUGAUACUGGCAAGCUUGAGUCUCGUAGAGGGGGGUAGAAUUCCAGGUGUAGCGGUGAAAUGCGUAGAGAUCUGGAGGAAUACCGGUGGCGAAGGCGGCCCCCUGGACGAAGACUGACGCUCAGGUGCGAAAGCGUGGGGAGCAAACAGG